rnacentral:lncRNA from 1 species
UAUUAAAGAAUUAUAAGUGAACACAACGAUUCCUAUGGUGGAUGAAACCGUAAAUGCCUGCCUAAUGUUACAUAUGUAUACGUGGUGCCUCCCGCGUACUUAUGUGUAUAUAUUAUCUUUUAAUGUAUUUUACUUUUACUUAUUAUUUUUAUUUAUUAUUAUAUGUGGUUUUUAUUGUUUUAUUAGCUAAGCUCUGCAUGUACCUGUUUUCAGUUUAUAACUAUUAUAUUGAUUAUUUACACUGCUACGUUAUGUUACGAGUAACCAUAACAACGAUAGUUAGCAAUGUUCGUUUUUUAAAAACUGUUCCAGUUCUAUGUUCUAUUAGCUAUUUUUAUGUUUGUAUACCUGAUGAUGGCCGCUAACGCGACCGAAAACGUUUGUGUGUAAUAAUAAAGAAUGUGUAUUAAGGAUACUGCUGUAU